GAUGAACGCUGGCGGCGUGCUUAACACAUGCAAGUCGAACGGAAAGGCUCCUGCUUGCAGGGGUACUCGAGUGGCGAACGGGUGAGUAACACGUGGGUGAUCUGCCCAGCACUUCGGGAUAAGCCUGGGAAACUGGGUCUAAUACCGGAUAGGACGAUGGUUUGGAUGCCAUUGUGGAAAGUUUUUUCGGUGUGGGAUGAGCUCGCGGCCUAUCAGCUUGUUGGUGGGGUAAUGGCCUACCAAGGCGUCGACGGGUAGCCGGCCUGAGAGGGUGUACGGCCACAUUGGGACUGAGAUACGGCCCAGACUCCUACGGGAGGCAGCAGUGGGGAAUAUUGCACAAUGGCCGCAAGCCUGAUGCAGCGACGCCGCGUGGGGGAUGACGGCCUUCGGGUUGUAAACUCCUUUCGCUAGGGACGAAGCGCAAGUGACGGUACCUGGAGAAGAAGCACCGGCUAACUACGUG
rnacentral:rRNA from 1 species